GGACCCAUAGCUCAGCGGUAGAGCAUCUGAUUCCAGUAAAGUAAAUAUUAACUGCCUCCAGAAGGUCAUCCGUUCAAAUCGGGUUGGGUUCA